AUGAAACUUUAUGCACACAUAGAACAUGAAGACGUAUUCUUGCAACCAUUUUCAGAUUUUUUAGCAUUUAGAAAUAUGUUUCUCGAAGUGGGUUCAUAUGUACCCGAGUUCAUCCAUGCACUUUCCGUCAAAAACGUUUUUAUAUUAUGGGACGGAGGGAGUACCUUUGCUAGUCGAAGGACGGUUGACUUCAUCUCUCCAGGCUUCAACGCGGAACCUGUUUCUGAUCACUCCUCGUGCGGCGUUGCUGGCAUGUUUCACCUACCUGCUGCCUUACAAGAGGUAAUAGCACUCCAGAUACCCUAA
rnacentral:rRNA from 1 species